rnacentral:rRNA from 1 species
AGCUUGCUCUCUGGGUGACGAGCGGCGGACGGGUGAGUAAUGUCUGGGAAACUGCCUGAUGGCGGGGGAUAACUAGUGGAAACGGUAGCUAAUACCGCAUAACGUCGCAAGACCAAAGUGGGGGACCUUCGGGCCUCACGCCAUCAGAUGUGCCCAGGUGGGAUUAGCUGGUAGGUGGGGUAACGGCUCACCUAGGCGACGAUCCCUAGCUGGUCUGAGAGGAUGACCAGCCACACUGGAACUGAGACACGGUCCAGACUCCUACGGGAGGCAGCAGUGGG